UAAAUAGGCCUGUUUACAAACUCUCUGCAAUAUAAAAAUAAUUCAGAAGAUACUCCCCAAAGAGCAUUAGAAUUUUUUGUUUAAUUUUCCAUCUCCCCAGUUUGUCUCUAAAUUCUUUAAUUUUCCUGGAAAAAUCAACUCUCUUUGUGUCAAACAUAUUUUUAUGUUCUUUGUGUAAUUGAUCCUCUCCAUUAAUACACAAUAAUCCAGUUUUUACCACUAAUAUGGUUUGGCUGUGUCCCCACCCAAAUCUCAUCUUGAACUGUAGUUCCUCCAGUCCCAUGUCAUGGGAAGUACCCACUGGGAGAUAAUUGAAUAAUGGGGUGGUUACGCUCACGCUGUUCUUGUGAUAGUGAGUUCUCAUGAGAUCUGAUGUUUUUAUAAGAGGCUUUUCCCCCUUUGCUUGGCGCUUCUCCUUCCUGCUACCAUGUGAAGAAGGAUAUGUUUGUCUCCCCUUCCACUAUGAUUGUAAGUUUCCUGUGGCCUCCCCAGUCCUGCAGAACUGUGAGUCAAUUAAACCUCUUCCUUUUAUCAAUUACCCAGUCUCAGGCAGUUCUUUACAGCAUGUGAAAGUGGAUUAAUACACCUACUUAUUGUAUCCUUGGUCUUCUAUGAUCCUGAAUUAACAAUAACAUUGCCCUAAGCCUGCAACAAUAAGAUGUAUAUAGGCAGUCUUCACAGCUUCCCUUAAAUUCUGUUUUCCUUCAAGAAUACCUGGUAACUUCUUCUAGCAAUAUGGCAGUCAGGUACACAAUGACUGUCCUCACUGGAACAACUAAAAUGGUUUUUAAAAAAUUUUAAACCAAAUUUUAUAAAUGAUUAUAAGUGAGGAAUACACCAAGUCUAAAAAUAAAAUAAAAUCAAGACCUCUGGGAGGUUAAUAAGUUCCAAAGCUAGCUUUUCCUCUAAGGGUUUCCACCAGAUCUUAAGAUUUCACUUUGCAAGUACCUUGGGUGUAGGGGGCUGGAGAUAAAGCCCAGAUUCUGCCCAAGGAGGGAAUAUAAUAGGAGGCCCCCAUAUAUAGCUGGGACUUACACUGCAUAUGAGUGAGACAUAAGCCCCACUGCACAGAAAUUUAUAGCAAAAAAUUUGCUUUUCUCAGCCUUGCUGACAGGUGGAGAAGGAAAAAAAUAUAUCCCUUGAGAAUUUGCAACCAUAUGCCAGCCCUCAUGCAAGAUUUUAUCUUAACUAACCACUUGUGUGAUCUGGAAAACAUCAAGCAGACUUUAAAUUAAAAUCCUUUGUUUGUAGCAUCUCCAGAUGAUUCACAGAAGUAAGCGACCUUCCUAAAGAAAAAAAAACAUAAUUUAAUUCAGUUCUGCAAGAAUUCCCACAGCAACACCACUCAAUUUGAGCUCAAGUCUCUGCUGACACCAACAAAGUGAUGUCAUCAGGCGUGUUCAUCCUGCUGGAGUCCUGUUGGUGCUGGUUAUACCACUUGAACUGAGGAAAUGUAAGCCCACUUCUGGGAUUAUCUGGAAAAUCCUCCAGCACAGAACUGUGGCUGUUUCAUGACCAAGUGGAAGAGGCUACAGAUUCCCACAAAGAACUACAGGCAUGAGGAGCUUGCUCUUUAGACACUGAGGUGUCUUGAUUAUGAAGACCUUCUGAGGGUGGCUGGCAACUUUCUGACUUUUAAAUAUCUGUACCUCCUCAACACUGGCAGCUUUUCAAUUAUAUGAGGUUGUCAUGUUAGGUUUCAAAGCAUAUUUCUGUGGUUGUUACAGCCCAUGAGCCUGGGGCAGCGAUGGUCAAGACUCUGGUCGACACUUGGGAAAAGCCAUUGAGAUUUGGCCCUUUGAUCGCUUUACUGGUUUUGGACAAGUUUUGUUUUAGUGUCUUCCAAGAAUUGAUGGGAGGUGGGAGGAAAGGCAGGUGAAUGCUUUGAUGCCUAGGCUUCAGGUGUCUCCAUAGCACUUAACACCGGACGGCUGUGUGUGUGCACUCAGCACUUGGAGACGUAGGGUUUUGGGGGCUGACAGGUGCUUUCCUGUCUCUAUCUCAUCUGGAAACUUUUCAGGGACAUGAUUAAUAAGCCUAGGAUUAUUUCAUGCUAGCUUAUUGUAGGGAGAUCUGUAUAAUAUUGUAGUGAGGGUUUUUUU
rnacentral:lncRNA from 1 species